rnacentral:rRNA from 1 species
UAAGCGGAGGAAAAGAAACUAACAAGGAUUCCCCUAGUAACGGCGAGUGAAGCGGGAUGAGCUCAAAUUUAAAAUCUGGCAGUCUAAGAUUGUCCGAGUUGUAGUCUAGAGAAGCGUUUUCCGCGUAGGCCUGUGUACAAGUCCCUUGGAAUAGGGCGUCAUAGAGGGUGAGAAUCCCGUCCUUGACACAGAUCAUCUAUGCUCUGCGAUGCGCUCUCGAAGAGUCGAGUUGUUUGGGAAUGCAGCUCAAAAUGGGUGGUAAAUUCCAUCUAAAGCUAAAUAUUGGCGAGAGACCGAUAGCGAACAAGUACCGUGAGGGAAAGAUGAAAAGCACUUUGGAAAGAGAGUUAAACAGUACGUGAAAUUGUUGAAAGGGAAACGAUUGAAGUCAGUCAUGUGGUUUGAGGUUCAGCCGGUUCUGCCGGUGUAUUCCUCAGACUACAGGCCAGCAUCAGUUUCGACCGGUGGAAAAAGUUGGAGGGAACGUGGCAUCCUCGGAUGUGUUAUAGCCCUCUUUCACAUGCAUCGGACGGGACUGAGGAACGCAGCGUGCCUUUAUGGUCGGUCUUCGGACACGAACGCGCUUAGGAUGCUGGCAUAAUGGCUUUAAACGACCCGUCUUGAAACACG